rnacentral:rRNA from 1 species
GGCCUAACACAUGCAAGUCGAACGGUAACGCGGGGCAACCUGGCGACGAGUGGCGAACGGGUGAGUAAUGCAUCGGAACGUGCCCAGUAGUGGGGGAUAGCUCGGCGAAAGCCGGAUUAAUACCGCAUACGACCUACGGGUGAAAGGGGGGGAUCGCAAGACCUCUCGCUAUUGGAGCGGCCGAUGUCAGAUUAGGUAGUUGGUGGGGUAAAGGCCUACCAAGCCGACGAUCUGUAGCUGGUCUGAGAGGACGACCAGCCACACUGGGACUGAGACACGGCCCAGACUCCUACGGGAGGCAGCAGUGGGGAAUUUUGGACAAUGGGGGCAACCCUGAUCCAGCCAUGCCGCGUGCGGGAAGAAGGCCUUCGGGUUGUAAACCGCUUUUGUCAGGGAAGAAAAGCCUUGAGCUAAUACCUCGAGGUCAUGACGGAACCUGAAGAAUAAGCACCGCCUAACUACGUGCCAGCAGCCGCGGUAA